ACGGGUGAGUAACGCGUGGGAAUCUACCCUUUACUACGGAAUAACGCAUGGAAACGUGUGCUAAUACCGUAUGUGUCCUUCGGGAGAAAGAUUUAUCGGUAAAGGAUGAGCCCGCGUUGGAUUAGCUAGUUGGUGGGGUAAAGGCCUACCAAGGCGACGAUCCAUAGCUGGUCUGAGAGGAUGAUCAGCCACAUUGGGACUGAGACACGGCCCAAACUCCUACGGGAGGCAGCAGUGGGGAAUAUUGGACAAUGGGCGCAAGCCUGAUCCAGCCAUGCCGCGUGAGUGAUGAAGGCCCUAGGGUUGUAAAGCUCUUUCACCGGAGAAGAUAAUGACGGUAUCCGGAGAAGAAGCACCGGCUAACUUCGUGCCAGCAGCCGCGGUAAUACGAAGGGGGCUAGCGUUGUUCGGAUUUACUGGGCGUAAAGCGCACGUAGGCGGAUCGAUCAGUCAGGGGUGAAAUCCCAGAGCUCAACUCUGGAACUGCCUUUGAUACUGUCGAUCUGGAGUAUGGAAGAGGUGAGUGGAAUUCCGAGU
rnacentral:rRNA from 1 species